rfam:Agrobacterium tumefaciens str. C58 circular chromosome, complete sequence.
AGGUCAUUUUCAUGACCGCGCAUCUCCAGUCAGGGCAGACCGUUCCCAUACGGUCUUGCCCUUUUUUCUG